CGCCUGUUUAACAAAAACAUGUCUUUUUGGUAAUGAUUUAAUGUCGGGCCUGCCCAAUGAUUAUUAAAUGGCCGCAGUAUUUUGACUGUGCAAAGGUAGCAUAAUAAUUAGUUUCUUAAUUAGGAACUGGAAUGAAUGGUUUGAUGAGGGACCAGCUGUCUCUUGGUAAUUCUAUUAGAAUUUUAUUUUUGAGUGAAAAAGCUUAAAUUUUUCACGAAGACGAGAAGACCCUAUAGAGUUUAACAAAUAUUUUAGCUUUCUUUUUGGUUGAUUGGUUGUUAUUGCUGGAAUUAUUGUUUUGUUGGGGUGAUGAUAAAAUUAGAUGAACUUUUAUUUAUUUCUACAAUUAUAAUUGGCUUAUUGAUCCUGUAUUAUGGAUUAUUAGAGAAAAUUACCUUAGGGAUAACAGCGUUAUUUUUCCUUGAAGUUCUUAUUGAUGGGAAAGUUUGCGACCUCGAUGUUGGAUUAA
rnacentral:rRNA from 1 species